CACGCUGUAAACGAUGGAUACUAGAUGUCAGUUGCAUUAAAGCAGUUGGUAUCGAAGUUAACACGAUAAGUAUCCCGCCUGGGGAGUACGGUCGCAAGAUUAAAACUCAAAGGAAUUGACGGGGGCCCGCACAAGCGGUGGAGUAUGUGGUUUAAUUCGAUGCAACGCGCAAAACCUUACCCGGACUUGACAUCCUCCUGAACGGACCUAGAAGUAGGACCGGGCCCUUCGGGGACGGGAGAGACAGGUGC
rnacentral:rRNA from 1 species